rnacentral:misc_RNA from 1 species
UAGCGGUUGGGAUUCCUUCCAAUUCUAGGUUGAAGCAGUUGGCUCAGACCAUUGGUUCUAACUCUAAAAACCUUGGCCUGAAUAACACUGUAUUUGGGAAGGUUAAACAAGUUAGCCUGUCUUCUAUUUUAAAACAUUCUCUUGGUAGUCCUACACCUUCUCCAGCUCCUCAACCUUAUCACCACCAUCAUCACCAUCACCACCAUAGCCAUCACCACCACCAAGGUUCAAGUGUUGCUCCUGCAAUUUCACCUGCUCCGAGGGCUGAGAAAGGUGGAUCAGUUCACCGGAAAGUUUCACCAGUAUCUGCACCAGUGCCAGCAUCUGCACCAGUGCUUGCACCUGCCCCUGUACAUCCAACUCACAAACGUCAUACGGCUCAACCUCCUUGUCAUUUCGGGAAAUACCCAAGGAAGGCAAAAAGUCAUCCUCCUGUGCUAGCUCCUGUUCAAGCACCAGUCCCUGCACCUCACAUUGCUCCCUCUCCACAUCAACAAAUACAUGCUCCAACUCCUGUCUUGCAUAAAAUCCCUGUAUCAAGCCCAUUGCCCUCUGUAGUGUAUGCUCAUGCGCAGCCUCCUCCAAGGACACCUUCAGUUGCAGAGCCUCCUCAGAGAACACCUUCAGUUUCAAACUUGACAUCUUCAUCUUCACCAGGCAUCUUUUCUUCAAACUUGUGGGUGCUCCCGCUGUUUCUACUUCUUGUACCGCGUAUAUAGCUUGCAGAAUGAAGGAUUUUCCUUCCCCUAGUCGCCGAAAUCUGCCUCCAGUAUGAAAGUGAGUUCCACCUCUAUCUUCUCAUGCAAGGCCAAGGGAAACCAUAUUUGAGGAGCUUUGCAAAGAGGGAACAAUGCCUAAAGGGCGUCGUCCCUCGCACCCAAAUGAAUAUAUGUGGUUGUUUGUACUUGUAAAUACUGUAUCGAAGAUUCAGUACCGCGAUGCAUUUUCAGGUUUAAGUCACAGAGGUGACAGGCCUGUAAUGACAUGCAUUACCACUGUUAUGUAUGAUACCUCUUGCGCAAGUGUAAAGAGGUGAAAAAA